rnacentral:tRNA from 1 species
AGGAGUGUAGCUCAGUUGGUUAGAGCGAUGGUCUCCAAAACCAUAGGUCGGGGGUUCGAAUCCCUCCACUCCUGCCA